CGGCGCCUCAAGUGGUAGUCGCUUUUAUUGGGCCUAAAACGUCCGUAGCCGGUUUGGUACAUUCGUGGGUAAAUCAAGGCGCUCAACGUCUUGAAUUCUGCGAGCACGGCCAGACUUGGGACCGGGUGAGGUGUGGGGUACUCUCAGGGUAGGGGUAAAAUCCUGUCAUCCUGAGAGGACCACCUGUUGCGAAGGCGCCACACUAGAACGGAUCCGACGGUCAGGGACGAAGCCUAGGGGCACGAACCGGAUUAGAUACCCGGGUAGUCCUAGGUGUAAACGCUGUGGACUUGAUGUUGGGAGUGCUCCGAGCACCUCAGUGUCGAAGCGAAGGUGAUAAGUCCACUGCCUGGGGAGUACGGCCGCAAGGCUGAAACUUAAAGGAAUUGGCGGGGAGCACUGCAACCUGAGGAUUGUGCGGUUUAAUUGGAUUCAACGCCGGAAACUCACCAUAGCCGACGGACAUAUGAAGGCCAGCGUAAUGAGCUUGCCGGAUUGUUCGAGAGGUAGUGCAUGGCCGUCGUCAGUUUGUACCGCAAGGCGUUCUGUUAAGUCAGAUAACGAACGAGACCCUCAUCCCUAUUUGCCAAGGUCUGUCCGCAGACCACGGGACUAUAGGGAGACCGUGGCGCGAAGUCAGAGGAAGGCGAGGGCAACGGUAGGUCAGUAUGCUCCGAAUGCUAUGGGCUACACGCGCAAUACAAAGGGCGGGACAAUGGGCUGCAACUCCGAGAGGAACGACGCUAUCCCGAAACCCGUUCGUAGUUCGGAUUGAGGGCUGUAACUCGCCCUCAUGAAGCUGGAUUAGGUAGUAAUCGCGUCUCAAAAAGGCGCGGUGAAUAUGCCCCUGCUCCUU
rnacentral:rRNA from 1 species